UUAGAUGAUACCUCGGGCCGGUGCUCCUGUACGCUAAAAACUACUUAUGCAUUUUCCUUCUUCUCUUCAGCCCCAGGUUGUGUGUACAUGCCCAGAAGGAGCAUAAAGCUGUGUUUUUUUUAGUUCCGCUUUUCAUUCUACUGCUAAAAGGAGCACCCGCCCAGGAUCUCAGGAACACCUUACCAGAGCUGCAGGUUCUGAUCCAUUUUGCUAUAUAUGGUGUUUACAAUUCACUCUGGGAUUGAGUUAAGUAUUGGCUAGGAAACUGGUUUAACUGCUCAGGUGUGCACUGAUUCAUCUUUAACAUGAUACAACUGCCUAUUUCUGACCAUCAGGAAGAUAAAAUCAGCUAGAUAAGUUUCAGACUGACAACGCAACAUUGCCUCCUGUGGCUCACAAUUUCUCAAUAAAAAAUGGUUGAAGACACCAGAACUGAUAUUUUUAGCUGGGAAGAGACAGAAGAGGAAAGUAAAUAAUUCAAAAACUAUAAAAAAAUGAAAACCUAUUGAAAAGUUGCUAGGAAUAGGCCAUUCUAUAGCAAACUAAGUUAACCUGGAGGUGAACUACUCUUUUAAACAAAUAUUCAUAGAACAAGGCUAAAAUAAGCAAAUUAUAUAAAACAAGGUAAAUUAAAGGCUCAUGUGCAUAUCUGGGGAACAAAAAAUACAGAUGUAUGCAUUUACAAUUAUUUUAUUAUAAAACAAAAAAUUUUAUGAUCAAAAAUGUGUUAAAAAGAUACAUCUUUGUCUUUGAAAAAUCUCAAAAAGUAUAACAUGUUGCAAAAUCAUAUUAACUAAAGUAUUAAGAGGCUGACAAGGCAAAAAUUAAAAUAAUAUAUCAAUACAAAAACAUUUCCACAGAAAUGCAAACGAUCAAAAAUAAACCUUAACAAGGUUUAGAACUUUACGCUUGAAUCAAAUAAAUAAAUAAAGGAGAGGGAAAACAGUAGUACUUCAUUAGUUAAAGUAUGAUUAAAAAAGCAGAAAUUGCAGUAAGAAUUGCCACUGUAAUGAAUUAUACAUUUUUAUUAUAUAAGCAGAUGUACUUAAUAUUAUACACUCAUAAAAGGUCCACACCCUGAAAUUACAAAACUCCUGUGCAAAGAGCCAAAAUAAGACAUGUUAUUAAUGGAAAAAACCUCAGCAGAUGCUGUUUUUUGACCUGCCCUUCAUAGUAUAUUUGUCUAUCCAAACUACGUUGCCUAACAUUUUCUAAAUCAAUAUGGUAACCAGUUUAUGCAUAAAUGUUUUUUUUUAUGACUUAUUUUAUGAUUUGAUUGCUUACUAAGCUGGUAUAUCUAUCAUGUGGCAAAAGAGUGAUGGAACAUUAAUAUGCAAAAUCCAGUGGUGGCGUGUGUAAUUCAAUAUCUAUAAAUUAACACCAAAAA